rnacentral:rRNA from 1 species
UAGGGAAUCUUCCGCAAUGGACGCAAGUCUGACGGAGCAACGCCGCGUGAGUGAAGAAGGUUUUCGGAUCGUAAAACUCUGUUGUUAGAGAAGAACAAGUGCUAGAGUAACUGUUAGCGCCUUGACGGUAUCUAACCAGAAAGCCACGGCUAACUACGUGCCAGCAGCCGCGGUAAUACGUAGGUGGCAAGCGUUGUCCGGAUUUAUUGGGCGUAAAGCGAGCGCAGGCGGUUCCUUAAGCCUGAUGUGAAAGCCCCCGGCUCAACCGGGGAGGGUCAUUGGAAACUGGGGAACUUGAGUGCAGAAGAGGAGAGUGGAAUUCCAUGUGUAGCGGUGAAAUGCGUAGAUAUAUGGAGGAACACCAGUGGCGAAGGCGACUCUCUGGUCUGUAACUGACGCUGAGGCUCGAAAGCGUGGGUAGCAAACAGGAUUAGAUACCCUGGUAGUCCACGCCGUAAACGAUGAGUGCUAAGUGUUGGAGGGUUUCCGCCCUUCAGUGCUGCAGUUAACGCAUUAAGCACUCCGCCUGGGGAGUACGACCGCUUG